ACUAAGUUGCGUUAGGGAUUGUAAUGGAAAUCCUUUUUGUAAGGCACGAGCAAAACGAUUGUAAAGGAAAGCCCGACCCUUU
rnacentral:sRNA from 1 species